CAGGCAUUUAAAUAGAAACAUUUUUACAGCCAUUAGAAAUGGCCAUUGAAGACAGCCGAUUUGCACAGAGGAUAUCUUCGUCUCAUCCUAAGAAGUCGGUAUGAAUGUUCAAAUGACUUUUCCAUAUAAUUAAUAAAUAAGCUGUCGAAUAAAGCAAUCGGAAAAAGAAAUCAAUUAUGCGACGAACGAGAAAAGGUGACAAAGAUAAAAAGAGAAUGGGUGAUAGGAGAUGGGUCUGAAAGAAGGGGUCAGAGAGCGAGAUGAAAUAAGAGAAAGAAGGAGUAACAUGUAUAUGUGAUUAUCACAUAUGAAUUAUCGUACAUAUUUACGUAAUGAUCAAUAAUUGAAGUAAAUCAUGUCGAAUUGUUUUUCAUAUAUCAAUUAUUUAUAUCAAUUCGACGUAUUAUACAUGGUAACUCAACAGGAUUAUGCAAUAAUGAAUAUUUUUCUGUUUA